rnacentral:rRNA from 1 species
UACGUAGGGGGCGAGCGUUGUCCGGAUUCAUUGGGCGUAAAGAGCUCGUAGGCGGCCACUCAAGUCGAAUGUGAAACCUCGAGGCUUAACCUCGAGCCUGCAUUCGAUACUGGGCGGCUAGAGUCUGGUAGGGGGAUCUGGAAUUCCUGGUGUAGCGGUGGAAUGCGCAGAUAUCAGGAGGAACACCGGUGGCGAAGGCGGGAUCCUGGGCCAGUACUGACGCUGAGGAGCGAAAGCGUGGGGAGCAAAGCAGG